UUCCUCACUUUAAGGGAUAGUUCAACCAAAAAUGAAAAUUCUGUCAUCGUUGACUCAGCCUCGUGUCAUUCCAAACUUCUAUGACUUUAAUUCUUUUGAGAAACGUAAAUGAAGAUAUUUUGAAGUUGUUGUUUUUUCCCCAAUACAAUUAAUGUCAAUGGAGACCAAACAGAUCUGUUAUUUACUAAAGCUAAUUAAAUAUUAUAUAAGCUGAAAUAAAUAAAAUGUAAAUUCUAGAUGCAAAAUAAUAAAGAUAGACAUGCCUUGGCAACUAAAUGAAAUAAAAUAAGCUGAAGUAGUAAAAUUACUAAAACUUAUAUUGUCAUUAUAUUUAAUAACUAAUUUGCCUUCAUUUUGUGUGUCUGUUUUUGUGUGUGUGUUUGUUUAAAGGUUGAGAAUGUGCUUUUUUGUUGCUUGUUUGCAAAUAAGAAAACCCAAUAGAGUAUAAAUCAUGAAAGAUAACUAAAACGUAAAAAAAAAUUAAAAAAUAAAAUGUAAUAUGAUAAUACUAAUACUAAUAAAAAUUUACAUGGCAAAAUUAUUAAAACUAAAAUUUAAAUGAAAACUGAAAAUAAAAAAAAUAUAAGCUUAUUAAAAAUAUUAAUAAAUACUGUAAAUAAUAUAUAAAUAAUACUAAAACAACACUGGGACCAAAACAGCAUUGAUUGACAAAAAUACUUUUUUAUUUUUCUAAAUAUCUUUUGUUUUCCACAUGCAGAAGAAAGAAAAUCAUACUUGUUUGUAAUGACAUGAGGGUGAGUAAAUGAGUCAACUUUUCUUUUAAGAUGUCCUGUCAGCAUAGAGGUAAAACUAUAGAACUCACUUAAGUAUAACAAAGUAGCUACAAAAUGAAAGUAGAAUGUUAACAUGUAGGUUAUGUUCUAGAACACUCGUUGCCAUUCAGGUCCUGUUUUGAGCGGCUGGGAGGUUUGCGGCAGCAGAUGGGCUGUCCCGCUGUGUGCCUGAUUGAAACACAGAAGCUGGAGCCGACUCAUAACAACAUCACCAGCUUCUGUCAGCUCCAGCCAGGGAACAAAUCAGCCUUCCUGCGGCUCUGCUGCAGGGAACAUGACUCUGCUCAGAGGAAAAAAUGAUAGUCAUGAAAACCAAAGCUGGAGUUGCAGAUGGCAGGUGUAUGUGGAGAGCAUCUGCAGACUGCACUGCGAAUAUUGAAGAACUGAUUAUAUAAGCUGGCUCAAAUAGACUGGUCACUACUGAUCACGUGUUUGAAGUUAAAAACUCAGGUUAAUGAGGUCACACUUGGAUCACAGUUUUAUAUAGUAAAACUGAUUACGUGGUUUAUGUAAUCAGAUUCCAAAAUUGAGUACUCGUAAUUGACCCUUCACAAAAACCCACCCUCCUUAGUUACUGUUGCUAUGUCCGACAAGCCAAGCUGCUCACACCACACAUCAUGUUCCCACGCAGUGAAAAAUACAUUGUAAAGCAAAGAGGAAACUGACAACAUGCCCACAGACAAGACAAAGCAGGUUACUUCUCACAUGAAACAAGGUCUCAGCUUUUGAAUUUUGACAUUUUUUAAAGAAAUUCAAACAAUAAGUAACGUUUUGUGGCUCUUUAAUGUGUUGUGACAGAUCACUGUUGCGCCUCAGUUCAAAGCAUGAAAUAAACAUGAAUGAACAUCAAAAUGUAUUUUAUUU
ensembl:lncRNA